rnacentral:rRNA from 1 species
CCUACGGGAGGCAGCAGUGGGGAAUAUUGCACAAUGGGGGGAACCCUGAUGCAGCGACGCCGCGUGAGUGAAGAAGUAUUUCGGUAUGUAAAGCUCUAUCAGCAGGGAAGAAGAUGACGGUACCUGACUAAGAAGCCCCGGCUAACUACGUGCCAGCAGCCGCGGUAAUACGUAGGGGGCAAGCGUUAUCCGGAUUUACUGGGUGUAAAGGGAGCGUAGACGGUUGGGCAAGUCUGGAGUGAAAGCCCGGGGCUCAACCGCGGGACUGCUUUGGAAACUGAGAAGCUAGAGUGCUGGAGAGGUGAGCGGAAUUCCUAGUGUAGCGGUGAAAUGCGUAGAUAUUAGGAGGAACACCAGUGGCGAAGGCGGCUUACUGGACAGUAACUGACGUUGAGGCUCGAAAGCGUGGGGAGCAAACAGGAUUAGAUACCCUGGUAGUC